UGGUAGUUUUAUAAUUAUGUAGAACUUGGGCUUCAAGUCGGUCAUGAACUAGCGACCCGUUUCUCGUGCUUUGUUGUCGAUCGAUGAUAAGUGAUGUUUAUCGAUCGACGGUUGACUCUGAAUGUCGACUCUGGCUGGUUUAUGAACAACUACGAGUUACUUCAGUCUUUAGCUCCAAAAUCACCACAUUGCUCCAAAUCAUACCUAAACCUGUAAAGACUCUAAAAAGACUUCAAAACAUAAUAAAUAGAUUUUAAAACAAUUAUAUACUAUGGCUGAAAACUAGUAAAAUCCAUGGUAUAUCAAUAGACAUCCCCAUUAGUUCUCAACCAUCCUUUUUCUAGUGAUCAUUCCUCAUCAACGCAUACAUAAUCUUGCAUCCAUGCUGGUCUCAAUUUAUUCCUUCAUGUUCUGCCUCCAUUC
rnacentral:lncRNA from 1 species